GCUUAGACUUCACCAGGGGAUCUGGUUCAGUGGUUCCGAAAUCCGCUCAGGAAAUGAUGGUUUAGUGGAAGUGAGAAUGUUUCCUAAGACAGAUGGACUGAAGCGCUGCAGAAGGAGCUCUGUGGUGCAGCGUUGUGAAGCGGUGACGGAUUCUGGAGGCAGCAGCGCAGCGGGGCGCGGAGACCGCCAGCCUCCCAGCCUCCUCUCUGGGACACUCUGAGCUCUUUGUGGCUGAGCCGCCCUACUGCGCAGGCAUUUGUCAGAUGAAGUCUCUUGACUGGCUUGAUUUGGGAAUGACUGAAACCUAGUGGAAAGUCAGAGACAUAUGUUUUGACCACUGACCCUAACGUGUGGACUUUUUUUAAUGUCUGUUUUGUGGAAUAUAUGGCAUCUUGGAACCUACAGAAAUGACAAGGUGGAAAAAAGCCUAACAGUGACCUCCAAACCAGGCUUGGAUGCAUCGGGAAGAGCUGGGUAGAUCUGAUCCAGAGUGAUGGACUUCCCAAAUGUGUGGCACCCACUGUUGAAUCUUACUGCAGUAACAGGAUAGAGCCUUUGAAGCAC